CGCGCCGCGCCAGUCUCGCCCGCGACGCCACGCGCUUCGGACGCACGGGACGUUGUCAAUAACGGCUAUUCGCGUUAAAUAUCCGAACGAUUGUCAACUUUAUUGUUCCCGUGUUAUUGUCGCGAAUCGGUCAUCCGUGGUAUUCUGAUAUUCGGGUAAAGGAGGCGCAUAAUGGACAGCGGAGACGAAGCAAAGUGAAGUGUUAGUGUUGUGAAACGGUUAUAACGUUAGUGUAUGGUUCAGCUAUGAUGUGAGACGGUUCUGGUGGUUUCCGAAAUGCCGUCAGACAGUGGCUCGGCGUGGUCGCCGCCGGCUUCCAACAGUGAGAGGAGAUUGAGCAAUUCUUCCGAUGGCAGCGCUUGCAGCGGAUACUCUAAAACUACCACAGACAGCGCAGACUUCCUGGCGACGCGUGCGCAUACGGCCGCAGUCAUCCCGGGCAAGCCGGCCGCCAACCCUCUCCAGUUCGUCCGGGUCGGGCCCGCAGACCUCGGCAGCAGGGCCCGUGAGCAGCUCCGCAGGGCAGAGCUAGCCAAACGCACAGAACCUAAGAUCGAGAUACAGGAGGACUGGCAGUCGAACCUGGACAACUGGAAGUCGUCAAGACGGAAGCGCGUGGAGCACAUCAUCGAGCGGUGCGUGGAGGUGCGGCGGAUGGAGAACGAGCCCACGCAGCCCAGAGCCAAAUCCAAGACCUUCAACGAAAUGCUGGAGGAAAGAGCUGGCCGUAGAAGGAAGAACCACCUGCCUCUCUACACAGACGACGAUGGCCACGACCUGAGCGACCUGGGGAUCGGCACCUCCAGCACUAAGAGCAGCCUGAGCGAGGACUGCGACACGCACAGCUUGGCCAGCGACGGUAUCGACCUGGAUAAGAACCAUUCAGACGUCGACAACCUUUCCAACUGCGACAACAAUCGCAAGCUUGGCUCGAGCGCCAAUGAAUACGACACCUGCACCACGACCACUAUCAGCUCCCCAGAACCAGAGGAGUACACGUACGAGGGAGCCAUCGAAGGUUACAAAUCCAGGAUAAUAUCACAAACUAACAGCAGCAUCGUCAAAACCGUUGUCAACAACAACUUCAAAGAAAAGUCCCCUGACAAAGUCAACGGCGACUUAAACCGAAUCAGAACCAACGUAAGCAACAAGAUUGAGGAAAAACUCUCAUCUUUCCAACAGGAAAGAUCUAAUGACGUAAAAAACAACAAUCAGAAGAAGGACUUACCAAAAGUCGAUAUACAUAAAAGAAGAGAACAAUUUGAGAGAGAGAAUUCGCAAGAGUCACAAAUUAACAAACCAAAACUACCUGAUAUUGCUAACAAAAAGUCAAUUAAAGAAAGACUGUCUAGUUUAGAAAAGUUCACAGAAGAAACACACGUACAGAAGUCUACGAGUGACCUGACAAAGUUACCUACUGAAGUGAAACCCCUAAAAGAGCGUCUCUCGUCACUUGAGAAAGUCAAAUCUGCUUCAGUUGAACCAGAUAGAGCAAAAAGGCUUUCUAAUGGCGAUCUAAGUAACGCCAAAUCUUUGAGAGAACGUCUUUCCAGCCUCAAGUCUCAAACAUCUGAAGAAGAGGUUAAAGUAACGAAAACUGAAGUCAAAGAAGUUUCAAUGAGCUUGAAAGAAAGAUUAUCUUGUCUUGACGCAGCUAAAAACAAAGAUAUUCCCAAAAUCUCUGUAGAAGAAGAACUUACACAUAAAGAUAAGGUUGAAACCAAAGCAGAUAUUGAUUCUCAGGACAAAAUGUCAGACAGCUCAUUGAAGAAUAGUUUGUCUGGCAUAGAAAGCCAAAUGCAGAGUUUUUGUCGUUCCUUGGAUAGUUUGGAUAUUAACGGACAGUCUUCUCCAAAUUCCUUUGAAAGAGUUCAAAGUUUGGAGGACUUUGAUUGCGCUGAAAUGCAGAAUAAUACAGUUCCAAGUGAUAUCGAAACUGAAGACAGUGGUAUACAUACUGCAAGAGAUUCCUGCGUGCCACCUGAUGACAUUGCAGACUUGACUCAAGUAGCUUCUCCUAUAGGAGAACCUAUGGUUGAAGUUUCAGAAUAUGAGUCGUCCAAUGAGGACAGUGGAAUGCCCUUAGAGCCUACUAAGCUUGAAGAGCCAAUGGAACAGAAAGUUCCCGAAACUAUACAAACUAUAAUUCAGGAUAUCAUUAUUGAGGAAAUUGAGGAGCAAGACAGCAAAGCUGAGGAUACUGACAGUGGAAGUAACUACAUUCAAGCUGUCUCACAGCCAGAAGAACUGAGUGUCACUGAAGAAGUGACCGAAAUACAGCUGGACAAAGAAGACGAAGAUACUCUUAAGAGUUUGGACAAUCAAGAUACUAGUGUAAGUUUGAAUGAGCCUGUCUCGACUGCAUCGGAAGGCGACACGGUGGUGUUUGAGGGGAAAAUGACUAUACACUUAAACUUGAAUGAAAUUUGCAACAAUAUGAAAGCUGGUGCUGGGAACAACUCUAACUGUAAUGAAACUAGCACUACUAAUGAUACUAACAAGAGCAUGCCAAUGGUAAUUGACGCUCUUGAGUUGGCAUUCCAAGAACUAGAUUCUGAGGACAGUAUGGACGAAAGCAAAGCCAUGGAUGACUCCAAAGUUAGUGCAAGUGAGACUAAAACUGAGUCUGUCGACUCUAAAGUGGAGACUCUUAUUGAUUUUGGCACUGAAAGUAAAAUACCUGAACCAGUGCCACCGUUGUACGAGAACAUUGACAUCUUUUAUCAGAACAGCUCGGAUGGGGCUGGAGCUUUUCCACUAGAUAUGCCAACUAAUGUCUUGGAGCCACCAAAAGAGAAGCCUCCGCCACCGCCGACUGAUGAUGGUCAGGAGGACGAACUACUUGGAAAUGGCAACUUCAAACACACAAGCUCAGCGCGCCGCAUCAAGAAAGAGAUCCGCAACAAGCGCACCAGUUUCCUCGGCAUUGAGGGUCAAGUAGACGACAGCUAUCUGGACGCUGACCUGACCCUCGCUCCACGUCCUGAUAUCACCUCCUUCCUUCAAGAGGAGACAAAGAUCGAGAAACUUCUGUACAAGAAAACCCUGUCCCACGAUAUGGACGCCAAGUUGAGGGAGAGCAGGGAUUCGGGAGUGGACGUGGAUAGAGGACCAUCAGCUGAGGCCUGGUAUAAAGGGCAGUCGUCGCCAGAAACCUCCAGCCCGCAUAGCAGACAGAAUAGUGAGCCGUACACACAAAUGACAGUAACAUCUGACGAGGAGGAGUCAACGAAGAAACAGAAAGAGCAGACCUUCACCAACAACCUAAAUACAAAGCUGACAGAACUGACAGAGUCCCCACAAACAGAUGACAAAAUAGACACGUUGGACAAAAAAAUACAGCAGCAACAGGCGUGUCGCACUAACGAGGAUUGGCCUGACGGGCACGUUGACGAUGCUCAUACCAAGGAAGUGCUGCGAUUCGAAAGAGAACUGCUGCAGUUGGAACAAGAAGAACUGAGAAGGCAGAGGGAAAACCUUCUUAGAGAUCAGAACAGGAUCAUCCAGAAGUCUGUCCAGGAUAUAUCUACAGUUCCAAAUACGCCAGAGAAGCCGCCUCUCCAAAGACCUGGGAAGUCGACCAACCAGAACUACAGACACUCGAUGCCAAAUCUUUUGAUUAACGAGAGUUAUACUCCUGUGGUGCCAGCUAUUCCUGAAAGGCCAGCGUUUGAUGAGAACAUGAAGAGGAAGCCUUUUGUGUCAGAGGAGCACAUACAGAGGCAUUUUGGUGUUGAGGAGAGCAGGAAGGUUCUGUAUGAGGACCGCAAGAUUGGAGAGGCGGUGAGGAGACAGGUGCCGAGCGUGAGGCCGCCUCAACCGGUGCUGCCUCCAAAACCGAAGACCCGGGAGUCUAUUGAGAGAGAGAUUACUAUGAGGAGCAGUCGUGUGCCUUCAGCCGUGGAGUACGUCAACGUGGACCGGACAGCAGUCCAGCUGCGCCAGAAGCCAGUGGCCAAUGGAAACAGCGCGCAGUACCACCCGAUGACCAGGCAUACGCUGCAGGCUCUCAGCGCGGCGCCGACGCCGAAGCUGAUCUCGAACGCGGACUGGAUGCAGGCGCGCCAGCCGCCGCGCAAGCCCGCUGCCUACAACUACAACCAGCACUGGCUCAUACAGGAGGCUGAGCAGCGUAGGAUAGAGGAGUCCCGAAGCAAGCUGCGAGCCGGCCAGCGACACUCCUACCACCAGGACAUGCCGGCACCGCAGCUGCAAACUAUGCUGCCUCUUAGCACCAGCCAACAGCACCUCCCCACAGAGUUCAAGCGACCGCUCCGUUCGGAGGUCCGACCCGACCCGCCACGAGACCGACCCGAGCCGCGAGACCGACCCGACCCGCCGCGAGACCGACCCGAGCAGAGGCCCGAGAGAGAGGACAAGAUGCUUAGCGUCAGCGGGAGGAGGAAAUGCUCGCAUUGCGGGGAGGAGUUAGGUCGCGGCGCCGCCAUGAUAAUCGAGUCGCUGUCGCUGUGCUACCACGUGUGGUGCUUCACUUGCGCGGUCUGCGGCGCGCGGCUCGGCGACGGCCGCGCGGGCGCAGACGUGCGCGUGCGAGCCAACCGCUUGCACUGCUACCAUUGUUAUUCUGGAGACGAUGGGAGGAAGUACUCUAGGGUUUAAGGAAUAAGGGCGAGAAUGGAAUGGCGUGGGGAAAAACAUCGAUAACCCGAAGCACUUGAGAUAAGGCUGAGAUUGCAACAACAGAUAUUAGGGCGCAGACGUGCGCGUGCAAGCCAACCGUCUGCACUGCUACCAUUGUUACUCAGGGGACGAUGGGAGAAAGUACUCUAGGGUUUAGGGAAUAAGGGCGAGAUUGGAAUGGCGCGGGUAAAAGUUGGCUGCCGAAACUUGUGACCGCACUGUAGCUGCUGUAUCGAUAGUCCCAAGUACUCUAGAGUCUUGACCGUAAGGCUGAGAUUGCUACAGCAGGUUGUAAGUAUCGUAAUAUUGCUAUUAUUCUUAACUUGCGCGGGCGCAGACGUGCGCGUGCGAACCAACCGUCUGCACUGCUACCAUUGCUACUCAGGAGACGAUGGGAGAAAGUACUCUAGGGUUUAGGGAAUAAGGGCGAGAUUGGAAUGGGCGUGGGGAAAAACAUCGAUAACCUGAAGCACUUGAGAUAAGGCUGAGAUUGCAACAACCGCUUGCACUGCUACCAUUGUUACUCAGGGGACGAUGGGAGAAAGUACUCUAGGGUGUAGGCUCUAGAGACGAGAAUGCAAUGGCACAGAUCAUUUUGUAAAUGCGAAACUUGUGACUGCUGCUUUUGGAGAAUGGAUCUGUACUUUAGAAUCUAGGUCUUAAAGCCGAGCUUGCAUUGAAGCGGACAAUUAUUAACUGUUGCGACCUGUGGUCGCUACUGUUGCUACUGAGGAAAAAGCAGACUAUGGGCUUAGGAUAUUACGCCAAAGUUUCAACAAAGCAAGGCGCUUUCUUGUUGUUACUUGUUACUCUAGGUUGAUUGCGAUAGAGUAUCAAAACUCAUUGAUCUAUUGCUAGCUAGGUAUCUUUGUCCAGCAAUCUCCUGCUAUUUUUAUGUGCAUACGCUACGUUGCCUAAAACGCUGUUUCUGUUCAAAAACAUGUCGAUCCCAUCGAUGCUUAAAGUUUAUAAGUUAAAAUAAAUCUUCAUGUUUUGAAAACGAAAGUGGAACCUUGUUGAGAAUAAUAUUAAUAAAAAUCAGAAAAUGAUCAUGAUUAUCUAUAAUAUUGAUGUCAACAAAAUAAAGUGCUAUACAGAACGAUUGUUCAAUUUAAAGUAAGCACUUAAGAUCUGAGGAAAGAUCUAAAUAUUAGUUCAUAAACCAAUUUAAUAAUCUUAAGUUUACUCGGACAUGACCUCGACUCUGACCUUUCUAGAAUGAUCUAGAAGUAGACAAACCGCGAUAGUAAAUUAUUUACUACCGUGCUAUUGUCGUAUACCACUCCACGUCUCGGCGACUCAGCCUGAUCUGAGUCCGCCUUUGCACGAUCUACAUAACAAUUUUUGUAGAUAUUUUUAUACAAACAAACAUACAAAAAUAUCUAAAAAGAUUGUAUAUUUUUGGUCACCACACUAAAUACCUUAUUCUUUUGUUUAGACUACAUAUUUGUUAUAACGACUUGCUGAUUUAGGUCGGAAGCGUUACUCAAAGCGCCAUCUUGUUUUUUCAACUAAGUUUGUCAUUUCGUUGUAACGUCUAUUGUAGUUGCAUUGCACGAAGAAGCAAGAUUACUUGGACUCAGCUCCUAGACUAUUAUUUACUACUUUUUUUUGUGAUUUAUAAACAUUUGUCGUAUUUUGGAAUUCAAUCUUGUUUUAACGUUUGAGUUAUGAAGUUAUUGAUCCUUAACGUAAUGGAGUAAGGUUGCUAACAGUUCUAAACGUGAUUACUGGCAACUUUGAAUUCCAGAGUAUUUUUUUUUGUUAUUUUGAUGUCAUCUGUAUUGGGGACUUAAAUAAGUGACGGUGUUAGUUUUAAAUAUCACGUUACUGUUCAUCUGUCAUGUAGUUUGUCACAGUAUUAGAACCCACUUUCUGUUUCUGACUAUUUUGUGCCAUGUCAUAUAACAUUCUUCAUUAUAUUUUAACGAGAAGUACACACAUCUGAUUGUUUUAAAUUAAAUUGUUUAUAUUAGGAUACACGUCUUUAUUUUAUGCGUCAAGUAUAUUAAGGCAGUUUUUAUUCAAAUGUGUAUUGAUAUAAAAAUGUCUAAUAAAAAUGUAUGCUUGUAGCAUUAAAAUCUAUUUUCUUAGACAAUGCACAGUGUAUUUUAUCGUAUAAUAAAUAUUCGAAUAAACUGUAAUAUUUUGUAAAUAGUUUUAAUUUAUAUUUAGUGUGUUUAACGGUUAGCUUUAAUAGUUAGUACUGUAGUUUAAAACAUUUAAUCCAAAAACGUAUAUUGAACAUAAUUUCUAUGUAUAAUACUUACUUGAGAAAAAUAUUUUAUAUUUUUACAUCACUAUAGAGUAAUUUUGUAUCGAUCAUUUUAUCGGAACGUAUGUAC